AUCAGCUAAUGAAGGCUUGUGUAUAAACCCACACAGUGGGCUGGACAGGCCUGAGCAUCUCUGCU
rfam:Xenopus tropicalis strain Nigerian Chr01_contig_3918, whole genome shotgun sequence.